rnacentral:rRNA from 1 species
CUUGGUCAUUUAGAGGAAGUAAAAGUCGUAACAAGGUCUCCGUUGGUGAACCAGCGGAGGGAUCAUUACAGAGUUGCAAAACUCCCUAAACCAUUGUGAACGUUACCUAAACCGUUGCUUCGGCGGGCGGCCCGGGUCCUUCCCGGCGCCCCUCGGCCCUCGCGGGCGCCCGCCGGAGGUAAACCAAACUAUUGCAUUGUAUGGCCUCUCUGAGUCUUCUGUACUGAAUAAGUCAAAACUUUCAACAACGGAUCUCUUGGUUCUGGCAUCGAUGAAGAACGCAGCGAAAUGCGAUAAGUAAUGUGAAUUGCAGAAUUCAGUGAAUCAUCGAAUCUUUGAACGCACAUUGCGCCCGCCAGUAUUCUGGCGGGCAUGCCUGUUCGAGCGUCAUUUCAACCAUCAAGCCCCGGGCUUGUGUUGGGGACCUGCGGCUGCCGCAGGCCCUGAAAUGCAGUGGCGGGCUCGCUGUCACUCCGAGCGUAGUAGUUACAUCUCGCUCUGGGCGUGCUGCGGGUUCCGGCCGUUAAAAGCCCUAUUUACCCAAGGUUGACCUCGGAUCAGGUAGGAAGACCCGCUGAACUUAAGCAUAUCAAUAAGCGGAGGA